GAAUCUGGAGACACCUCCAACUUCUCUCUGCUACGAUGUUGCCAAGCCUCUGGGAAGCUAGACUCACGUGUACCUUCACCCGUUUUGGAACAAUAUGUCAAGGGGGCAGCUAGGUUUCAUUUCCCAGGCUCUCUUGGAGUUAAGUGGGACUAAGAAUUGAGUUCCAGCCCACAGAAUGAAAGCCUUACAAGAGACCUCCUGGGGAGUCCACCAUGGCUUCCCCUAUUAGAGGACUGAAUGCAGAAGGGAGAGGGGAUCCUAAAAAUCACAUUGUAAUUGGACAAGUGCUCAACCUCACACUACUGGAUUAUGUUGAGAGCCAUACACAUCUCUAGUGAGAUGCCACUGUGAUGCAGACACUUUCAUUACAAUUAUGCCUUGAGAUAUAGAGGGCUAGAGUCUAAAAGCACAC
rnacentral:lncRNA from 1 species